GGUCCGGUUAGCUCAGUGGUUUGAGCGUGGUGCUGACAACAAGGACAACACCAAGAUCGCGAGUUCAAUUCCCGCUCUGUCCC
rnacentral:tRNA from 1 species